AGUAUUGUGAAUCCCUCUGUGAUCAUUUCAUGAAGAAUCUUUUUUGUUGCAAAAUUCCUUCAGGGGUAUGGUAGCGUGUCGACGUGCGAUACAGCGUCCGCCAAUUCUGGUUUUGUUGACUUUGUGCAGCAGUGGCGACAGCGGAUCAACAAUGGCAUCGAAUCUCCUUCAUGCUCACAAACAUCCAGUUCAUCUUCACAUGACUUCGAUUUGCAGCAAGUGUUAAGUGCCCAUCCAACUGGCGAGUAUGUUCUGCGACUGGACAAACUAGAUGACGCUGGGAGGAAGAUCUUAAUUGAUGCCACUGUGUCGUGGUUUAUUAAAAGAAAAAUCAAAAUAUGCCGAAAUACAUUCCAAUCUAUUGCGCAAGAUAUUGCAAACAGGUUUAAAGAUGACAAGGUAAAUUAUUUAUUCAUUACAAAACUAUUUUCUAAAUUUUCACCUAUUUUCAGUCGAUUUACUACCACAAAGAUCCUAUUACCUUGAGACCAGCAGGCCGCUUGUACGAUAAAUAUUACAACACAUUGAAGAGAUUGAGAAUUCACCGGAUUUCCUGAAAGUUCAACUCCUGAGGCAUCACCGACAGAAGAAUAUACAUUUACUUUCGAGGAUGAAAAAUCUGCCUAUGACUGGCUCAAACUUUUUGAUUCGCCGUGGAGCACAGUUGAAGCAAAUUGGAAAAAACCUUCAAAAUCAGACGACAAGAAAUUUUUAACUCAAGUGGUAGCACAUCAGCGAAAACUUUACGGGCCUGGAAACUUUUUUCCCAUUCAUGUGGAUACAAUCUGGUAAAUGGAUUUCUUAGUUUUACGUUUAAACUUGU